UACAGAGGGGGCAAGCGUUGUUCGGAAUUACUGGGCGUAAAGCGCACGUAGGCGGUUCGUUAAGUCGGAUGUGAAAGCCCUCGGCUCAACUGAGGAAGUGCACCCGAAACUGGCGAGCUUGAGUACGAAAGAGGAUCGCGGAAUUCCCGGUGUAGAGGUGAAAUUCGUAGAUAUCGGGAGGAACACCGGUGGCGAAGGCGGCGAUCUGGGUCGAUACUGACGCUGAGGUGCGAAAGCGUGGGGAGCAAACAGG
rnacentral:rRNA from 1 species